rnacentral:rRNA from 1 species
AACGAACGCUGGCGGCAGGCCUAACACAUGCAAGUCGAACGCUGUAGCAAUACAGAGUGGCGCACGGGUGAGUAACGCGUAGGAAUCUACCCAUUAGCCUGGGAUAACAGCGGGAAACUGCUGCUAAUACCGGAUACGCCCUUCGGGGGAAAGGUUUACUACUAAUGGAUGAGCCUGCGUUAGAUUAGCUAGUUGGUGAGGUAAUGGCUCACCAAGGCUCCGAUCUAUAGCCGGUCUGAGGGGACGAUCGGCCACACUGGGACUGAGACACGGCCCAGACUCCUACGGGAGGCAGCAGUGGGGAAUAUCGGGCAAUGGACGCAAGUCUGAUCCAGCCAUGCCGCGUGUGUGAUGAAGGCCUUAGGGUUGUACAGCACUUUUAGUAGUGAAGAUGAUGACAGUAGCUACAGAAAAAGCCCCGGCUAACUUCGUGCCAGCAGCCGCCGUAA